rnacentral:rRNA from 1 species
UACGGAGGGUGCGAGCGUUGUCCGGAAUCAUUGGGCGUAAAGAGCGUGUAGGCGGCCUUUUAAGUCCUGCGUGAAAUCCUGCGGCUCAACCGCAGACGGUCGUGGGAAACUGGAAGGCUAGAGUGCGGGAGAGGAGAGUGGAAUUCCCGGUGUAGCGGUGAAAUGCGCAGAUAUCGGGAAGAACACCCGUGGCGAAGGCGGCUCUCUGGAACGCAACUGACGCUGAGACGCGAAAGCGUGGGGAGCAAACAGG